AACGAACGCUGGCGGCAUGCCUAACACAUGCAAGUCGAACGAGACCUUCGUGUCUAGUGGCGCACGGGUGCGUAACGCGUGGGAACCUGCCCUUAGGUUCGGAAUAACUCCCCGUAAGGGGUGCUAAUACCGGAUAAUGUCUUCGGACCAAAGAUUUAUCGCCUUUGGAUGGGCCCGCGUUGGUUUAGCUAGUUGGUAGGGUAAAAGCCUACCAAGGCGACGAUCCAUAGCUGGUCUGAGAGGAUGAUCAGCCACACUGGGACUGAGACACGGCCCAGACUCCUACGGGAGGCAGCAGUGGGGAAUAUUGGACAAUGGGCGAAAGCCUGAUCCAGCAAUGCCGCGUGAGUGAUGAAGGCCUUAGGGUUGUAAAGCUCUUUUACCCGGGAUGAUAAUGACAGUACCGGGAGAAUAAGCUCCGGCUAACUCCGUG
rnacentral:rRNA from 1 species